rnacentral:rRNA from 1 species
GCUAAGACAUGCAAGUCGUACGGGGCCGCAAGGCCCAGUGGCGAACGGGAGAGUAAUGAAUCGCUAACGUGCCCCGGACUCAGGGAUAGCUGCCCGAAAGGGCAGGUAACAGACUGAUGACAUGACCCCGUCGCAUGGCGGGGUUCUCAAAGGUCCGCCGGUCUGGGAGCGGGCGAUUUCGUAUCAGCUAGUUGGUGGGGUAAUGGCUCACCAAGGCGACGACGCGUAGCCGGACUGAGAGGUUGGCCGGCCUACGGGGGGACUGAGACACUGCCCAGACUCCUACGGGGGGCUGCAGUAACGAAUCUUCCGCAAUGCACGAAAGUGUGACGGAGCGACGCCGCGUGUGGGACGAAGUCCUUCGGGAUGUAAACCACUGUCAGGGGUUACCAAGUUCUGAGGAGCCCCAGAGGAAGGCACGGCUAACUCUGUGCCAGCAGCCGCGGUAAGACAGAGGUGCCAAGCGUUAGGCGGAAUCACUGGGCUUAAAGCGUGUGUAGGCGGAUCGUUAAGUACCUUGUGAAAUCCCACGGCUCAACCGUGGAACUGCUGGGUACAGAUGGCGGUCUUGAGCCACCUAGGGGCAACUGGAACAAGCGGUGGAGCGGUGAAAUGCGUAGAUAUCGCUUGGAACGAAGAGGAGGUGAAACAGGUUGCUGGGGGGUGUGCUGACCUGAGACACUAAGCCAGGGGACCGAACGGGAAUUAUAU